ACUUUCCGAAGUGAGGAGCCAACUAAUGAGAUGCUGCAGAAGAUCUUAGCCUAUAGAUGGGAAGCCGUUAAAAAGGAAGAAGCAAGGAACACAUUUGAUCAGAUUUGGGAGCCUAGCGAUAAGGAUAACGCAAGCGUAGACAUCACUUCAAGUAGCGUACCAGCUAAACCAAACUUUAAUCAGGAUAUUCCUCCAGCCCUGUGGAUGAAAGGAGCAGAGAAGGAAAUAUCAAGGUAA